GAUUCGUGUAUGCCUUAUGUCCAGUAAAAGUUAACAGAAGCUUCAUAGAAAUUUGCAAUUACCAAUGACCAAUGUCUCCUCUCACGUUAAGGACUGACAAGUAAAACCAAGAAGCAAAGAAAUUCACUCUUGCCUUCUGAGUCAAUGGAAGACUAACAUAAAAGGUAGACCGGCUAGAUUGUCUUAGAUUGUUUGGAGUGCAUUUUCAAGAGUCUCAGAUCGGAUAGAUAAAAGUGUUUGAUGUGGUAUUUAAGGUUAGCGGAUAAUUUUUUUGGGUUAGACUCUACUCAUGGGUUUAAACCUUAACAAUUGGUACUCUCGUAGUGAGCUGGAUCAGGGAAAUGGCUACUUAUAAGUUGGAUUAAAGUGCUCCAACGAACACUGAUAGGUGAGAGAAGCCUCCAAAAAAGAAAGGGCUACUAUCGGGUUAAUGUCGGUAGAGUGAAAGUCGUCGUGGAUGUCAGCUUUUUAAAGACAUGACAAUGUUAGAAGUCCCGCAUCAGGUAGAUUAGGAGUCCAACAUUAAGUAGAUAAAAUUGUUUGAUGUGGUAGAAGCAUUGUGCUUAGCAAGUCAAUCCGCACACUCGUUGCCUUGACAGAAGGUGAAAAAUAACAAUUCAAUUUCGAUGAUGCAAUUGGGCAAUCUGACUAAUCAAAGGAGCAUAUGGAUGAUGAUGUUGGGCAUCCAACAUGAUUAGAUCAAGAGUCAUCCAAGAAUAUGAUUCAAGAAUAAUGUUCAUGUGUCCCGCAUCAUACGCAAUACAAAGGUCUUGAAAAAUGACAUGCAAUUCGGCCGUCAAACAAGAAGUAAUACCACAAAAACCAGAAAAAACGCAACAACCAAUCAUCAUUAUUAUUUCUUAUAAUUAUUAUUGAGAGAUCCUAACUUAAUAAUAUUAUACUUAUUGUGUUAUGUUUCUCCAAAUAAAA
rnacentral:lncRNA from 1 species